AGGCUUUGCUUUCCUGACCUCCAAAGACACAUCCCUUCCAUGUGCGUCCAGUGAAGAGCAACAUCGGGUCAUAGCUUCACUGCUGUCUGGACCUUCCGAGAACAAAAGGAAUACUGCUCUUACAGUGAACCAGGAAUGAAGUUUUGUGACAAGAUUGAGUCUUAUGGCAGUGCUGACUGAGGACGAGACCAGGAAUUAUAUAACUAUGAGGAUGCUGGU